AUAGGUUAAUGAGGCGAACCGGGGGAACUGAAACAUCUAAGUACCCCGAGGAAAAGAAAUCAACCGAGAUUCCCCCAGUAGCGGCGAGCGAACGGGGAGGAGCCCAGAGCCUGAAUCAGUGUGUGUGUUAGUGGAAGCGUCUGGAAAGGCGCGCGAUACAGGGUGACAGCCCCGUACACAAAAAUGCACAUAUUGUGAGCUCGAUGAGUAGGGCGGGACACGUGGUAUCCUGUCUGAAUAUGGGGGGACCAUCCUCCAAGGCUAAAUACUCCUGACUGACCGAUAGUGAACCAGUACCGUGAGGGAAAGGCGAAAAGAACCCCGGCGAGGGGAGUGAAAAAGAACCUGAAACCGUGUACGUACAAGCAGUGGGAGCCUCUUAAUGGGGUGACUGCGUACCUUUUGUAUAAUGGGUCAGCGACUUAUAUUCUGUAGCAAGGUUAACCGAAUAGGGGAGCCGAAGGGAAACCGAGUCUUAACUGGGCGUUAAGUUGCAGGGUAUAGACCCGAAACCCGGUGAUCUAGCCAUGGGCAGGUUGAAGGUUGGGUAACACUAACUGGAGGACCGAACCGACUAAUGUUGAAAAAUUAGCGGAUGACUUGUGGCUGGGGGUGAAAGGCCAAUCAAACCGGGAGAUAGCUGGUUCUCCCCGAAAGCUAUUUAGGUAGCGCCUCGUGAAUUCAUCUCCGGGGGUAGAGCACUGUUUCGGCAAGGGGGUCAUCCCGACUUACCAACCCGAUGCAAACUGCGAAUACCGGAGAAUGUUAUCACGGGAGACACACGGCGGGUGCUAACGUCCGUCGUGAAGAGGGAAACAACCCAGACCGCCAGCUAAGGUCCCAAAGUCAUGGUUAAGUGGGAAACGAUGUGGGAAGGCCCAGACAGCCAGGAUGUUGGCUUAGAAGCAGCCAUCAUUUAAAGAAAGCGUAAUAGCUCACUGGUCGAGUCGGCCUGCGCGGAAGAUGUAACGGGGCUAAACCAUGCACCGAAGCUGCGGCAGCGACGCUUAUG
rnacentral:rRNA from 1 species